rnacentral:rRNA from 1 species
UCGAACGAUGAAGCCGGAGCUUGCUCUGGUGGAUUAGUGGCGAACGGGUGAGUAACACGUGAGUAACCUGCCCCUGACUCUGGGAUAAGCGCUGGAAACGGCGUCUAAUACCGGAUAUGCGCUGUAACCGCAUGGUUUGCAGCGGGAAAGAUUUAUCGGUUGGGGAUGGACUCGCGGCCUAUCAGCUUGUUGGUGAGGUAAUGGCUCACCAAGGCGUCGACGGGUAGCCGGCCUGAGAGGGUGACCGGCCACACUGGGACUGAGACACGGCCCAGACUCCUACGGGAGGCAGCAGUGGGGAAUAUUGCACAAUGGGCGCAAGCCUGAUGCAGCAACGCCGCGUGAGGGAUGACGGCCUUCGGGUUGUAAACCUCUUUUAGCAGGGAAGAAGCCUUCGGGUGACGGUACCUGCAGAAAAAGCGCCGGCUAACUACGUGCCAGCAGCCGCGGUAAUACGUAGGGCGCAAGCGUUAUCCGGAAUUAUUGGGCGUAAAGAGCUCGUAGGCGGUUUGUCACGUCUGCUGUGAAAACUGGAGGCUCAACCUCCAGCCUGCAGUGGGUACGGGCAGACUAGAGUGCGGUAGGGGAGAUUGGAAUUCCUGGUGUAGCGGUGGAAUGCGCAGAUAUCAGGAGGAACACCGAUGGCGAAGGCAGAUCUCUGGGCCGUUACUGACGCUGAGGAGCGAAAGGGUGGGGAGCAAACAGGCUUAGAUACCCUGGUAGUCCACCCCGUAAACGUUGGGAACUAGUUGUGGGGGCUUUUCUACGGUCUCCGUGACGCAGC